rnacentral:rRNA from 1 species
CUGAUGCAGCCAUGCCGCGUGUGUGAAGAAGGCCUUCGGGUUGUAAAGCACUUUCAGUAAGGAGGAAAGGUUAAGUGUUAAUAGCACUUAGCUGUGACGUUACUUACAGAAGAAGCACCGGCUAACUCCGUGCCAGCAGCCGCGGUAAU